rnacentral:tRNA from 1 species
UGGAGAGGUGGCUGAGUGGUCUAAAGCACCGGAUUGCUAAUUCGGCGUAGGGUUAACUCCUUACCGCAGGUUCGAAUCCUGUCCUCUCCGU